UAGACACUACAAUGUUAGAUAGUUUUGCGGCUUCGGAAUAUACUAGCAACAUAGAAAUAAUUUAAAACCCUAUUAAUACACUGUGUACAUGUCCACUGAAAACUGACUUAGAAUAUACAAUACAUAUCUUAGUGUACUGCUUCUCUGUCUAGUGUCCAGGUAAAACUGAAAAUGCCUGGAAUGUAAAUACUUACCUUAGUGAACAGCUACUGUCAGUUUAAACUGAUAACACUGUUAUAUCAGAUGUCAGUAAAGACAGGUAAGGGUUUUAUCAGAUGUCAGUAUAGACAGACAGCAUUACUGUUCUGGACCUAAGACAGGUAAUACUAUCGUAAUGGAUAUCAGUUUAGAAAGGUAACUGUUAUACAAAAUGUCAGUUUAGAGUGGUUAAGAUAUUGUUCCAGAUGUCAGUUUACAUAGAUAACACUACUGUUCAGACUAUCAUUUCAGACCCAUCAAACUAUUGUAUUAGAUGUUCGUUUCGACAGGUAACACUGUUAAACUGGAUGACUAUAGUUACACUAUUUUUUCUAGAUAUAAGUCAAGACAGGUAAUAGUGAAAUUCAAGAUAUCAAUUUAGACAUGUGAUACCAUUAUACCAGAUGUCUGUUUAGACAGGUGAUUAUGCUAUUAUACCAGAUGUCGAAUUAGAUGGGUGAUACUGUUAUACCAGAUGUCGAAUUAGAUGGGUGAUACUGUUAUACCAGAUGUCGAAUUAGAUGGGUGAUACUAUUAUACCAGAUGUCCGUCUAGACAGGUGAUACUGUUAUACCAGAUGUCCGUUUAGACAGGUGAUACUAUUAUACCAGAUGUAUGUCUAGACAGGUGAUACUGUUAUACCAGAUGUCCGUUAAGACAGGUGAUACUAUUAUACCAGAUGUUCGUUAAGACAGGUGAUACUAUUAUACCAGAUGUCCGUUUAGACCGGUGAUACUAUUAUACCAGAUGUUCGUUAAGACAGGUGAUACUAUUAUACCAGAUGUAUGUUUAGACAGGUGAUAUUAUUAUACCAGAUGUAUGUUUAGACAGGUGAUACUAUUAUACCAGAUGUAUGUUUAGACAGUUGAUUCCAUUAUACCAGAUGUCCGUUUAGACAGGUAAUACUAUUAUACCAGAUGUAUGUUUAGACAGGUGAUACUAUUAUACCAGAUGUCCGUUUAGACAGGUGAUACUAUUAUACCAGAUGUAUGUUUAGACAGGUGAUACUGUUAUACCAGAUGUCCGUUUAGACAGGUGAUACUAUUAUACCAGAUGUAUGUUUAGACAGGUGAUACUAUUAUACCAGAUGUCCGUUUAGACAGGUGAUACUAUUAUACCAGAUGUAUGUUUAGACAGGUGAUACUGUUAUACCAGAUGUCCGUUUAGACAGGUGAUACUAUUAUACCAGAUGUAUGUUUAGACAGGUGAUACUAUUAUACUAGAUGUCCGUUUAGACAGGUGAUACUAUUAUACCAGAUGUAUGUUUAGACAGGUGAUACUGUUAUACCAGAUGUCCGUUUAGACAGGUGAUACUAUUAUACCAGAUGUAUGUUUAGACAGGUGAUACUAUUAUACCAGAUGUUCGUUAAGACAGGUGAUACUAUUAUACCAGAUGUAUGUUUAGACAGGUGAUACUAUUAUACCAGAUGUUCGUUAAGACAGAAACAAAUGUAGACAUAUUCUUCAAUUAUACGAUAUUCUGCAAGUUUAA